UACGUAGGGAGCAAGCGUUGUCCGGAAUCAUUGGGCGUAAAGCGCGCGUAGGUGGCCUCAUAAGUCCGUUGUGAAAGUCAAAGGCUCAACCUUUGAAAGCCGAUGGAUACUGUGAGGCUAGAGUCCGGAAGAGGCGAGUGGAAUUCCUGGUGUAGCGGUGGAAUGCGCAGAUAUCAGGAGGAACACCAAUAGCGAAGGCAGCUCGCUGGGACGGUACUGACGCUAAGGCGCGAAAGCGUGGGGAGCGAACAGG
rnacentral:rRNA from 1 species